AAAAUCUGCACUGCCCUCCAGCAGGCCCCUGCCCUGCCCUUCCUCCUCCAAGGGCUGUGCUGUCCCUGUGCCAUUGCACCACCUGAGAGAAGCAGGCCAUCUCUCAGCCAUUUGCCCUCCAACUUGCCCCUCGUUCAUGGCCUCUCUGCUCAGCUCCUUUCUGAGCAGCAGGUGCCUCUUGCAGCAGGGAAUGCCCCCGGCCCAGGUGCAGCACAUCAGCGUUAGGGCCCAUCCUGCAGGUGGGCGGGGAGCAGUGCUGGGGCUGAUUUAUUCCCUGUCCUGGCUGUGGGACAUGCUGCUGGGGGAAGGUGUGAGUGUUCAUGCAGGAGCAAAAUGCGGUGUGGAAGAGAAGAACGUAAUGAAACUUACUCCAAAUAUCCCGAGGCAAAUGGAGAACAGUUUCUGCUUUGCCCUUCCCUGAGCGUGCUCCCUAUUCAAGCUGGCAUUCGCAAGCUCUGUGCGAAGAUGUUUUUCUCAGCUGAGUCUAAUCCUCCCCACUUGACUUUUAGAAAUGCCAGGCAUCUCGGUGAUCGGAGACAAAGAAGCUAAAGGUGCCACAAGUGUCUCUAACGACUGUGCUUUACCAGGCAGCGGAGGCUGCGGUGCGCGUUGGAGGCGCGGGGCUGCUUACCGCACCGGGGUCCUGCUUCCUUCAGCGCUUAAAGCUGCAUUGCCGGGUCGGGUGGAGCGCCACGGAUCUCUCUGUGAUGCAAAUUGCCCUACUUAUCAACCACAAGGCUUCAUGAAUAUAGCUAUAAAAAUAAUAACAAAAAUGUCAGGAACUUGUUCUGCAGCAAGCUGGCUGAACAAACGAGCAAUCUGUUUUCCACCUGGGAGAUAUGAUCUACAUCUAAAGAGAGCUCGCAAAAACGUUUUACGGUGAAAGAGCGCUGAGGGGAAACGGUCCUCCCCAGGCUGGGGGAUCCCUGGGCGGAGGCCCGAGGUGCGGGAAGGAGGCUGCGGGCUCUGUGUGGGCUCUCUGCCUGGAGGCUGUGACGGCACUGAGGCCCUGGAUGCCGGCAGCCCCGUGUAUUCCUGGCAGUGCUGCUCUCUGUGUGUGUCACUGGGUAGAUAGAAGAGGGAGGAUGAGAAUCGUUGGCUGGACUGGUUGCUUUCAGAUGUUUCUCCUUAAGCUUUCACUUGUUGACAAAUGUACACCACUGUUUGUUACAGAGGCUGUGAGAUGUUAGAAUAGCACGGAAUCUGCUCCGAGAGGGAGAAAACAUUGCUUGCCCUGGGUGUAGGUGUGCAGCAAGCAAGCUGGUUGUCCCAGUGUGUGCAUGCUCCUUGGCUGGUGGCAUCCAAUGGAUUCCUCUUCAGUGCCCGUGGGGGUACCUGCAGACUGAUGGUCGGUGCUGCUACUUGGUCUUUUUACAAAGAAUUCCCACAACUCUGGAACAAAGCCCGCGGGAUGAGAAGCAGCAGUUUCCUCUCGCAGUGAUGCUUUGCACAUUGUGGUCCCUGCACCCUCAGACCCUCGAGCCUGGUGUAAAGCACAGUCAGUGGGUGGGGGUCACUCCUGAGGUGGGUACAGCACCGCAGGUUAUUCAGGCUGCAGAUGGGAAGGACAGCCAUUCUUAGCCAGAGCUCUAAUUGAAUAAAAAAGAACGGUGCUGUGAAAGGAAAACUUUGCUCUGGUGGAAGUUCAAGCCCACAACAGCCUGAAAGCAUUUAUC
ensembl:lncRNA